CCUACGGGAGGCAGCAGUGGGGAAUUUUGGACAAUGGGCGCAAGCCUGAUCCAGCAAUGCCGCGUGAGUGAAGAAGGCCUUCGGGUUGUAAAGCUCUUUUGUCAGGGAAGAAACGGUCUGUUCUAAUACAGCGGGCUAAUGACGGUACCUGAAGAAUAAGCACCGGCUAACUACGUGCCAGCAGCCGCGGUAAUACGUAGGGUGCAAGCGUUAAUCGGAAUUACUGGGCGUAAAGCGUGCGCAGGCGGUUUUGUAAGUUUGUCGUGAAAUCCCCGGGCUCAACCUGGGAAUGGCGAUGAAGACUGCAAGGCUAGAGUUUGGCAGAGGGGGGUUAGAAUUCCACGUGUAGCAGUGAAAUGCGUAGAUAUGUGGAGGAACACCGAUGGCGAAGGCAGCCCCCUGGGUCAAAACUGACGCUCAUGCACGAAAGCGUGGGGAGCAAACAGGAUUAGAUACCCUGGUAGUCCACGCCCUAAACGAUGUCUACUAGUUGUCGGGUCUUAAUUGACUUGUACACAGCUACGCGUGAGUAGACCGCCGUGGGAGGUACGGUCGCGAAGAAGUUAAACUAACAAGAAGUUAGACGGCGUGAGACGUGCCGACGGACGACGACGAGGGAGGAGG
rnacentral:rRNA from 1 species